AACGAACGCUGGCGGCAUGCCUAACACAUGCAAGUCGAACGAAGUCUUCGGACUUAGUGGCGCACGGGUGCGUAACGCGUGGGAAUCUGCCCUUGGGUACGGAAUAACUCAGAGAAAUUUGUGCUAAUACCGUAUAAUGUCUUCGGACCAAAGAUUUAUCGCCCAAGGAUGAGCCCGCGUAAGAUUAGCUAGUUGGUGGGGUAAAAGCCUACCAAGGCGACGAUCUUUAGCUGGUCUGAGAGGAUGAUCAGCCACACUGGGACUGAGACACGGCCCAGACUCCUACGGGAGGCAGCAGUGGGGAAUAUUGGACAAUGGGCGAAAGCCUGAUCCAGCAAUGCCGCGUGAGUGAUGAAGGCCCUAGGGUUGUAAAGCUCUUUUACCAGGGAUGAUAAUGACAGUACCUGGAGAAUAAGCUCCGGCUAACUCCGUA
rnacentral:rRNA from 1 species